rnacentral:lncRNA from 1 species
UGUUCAUCACAUUUCUGGAAAUUCCAAAAAUUUAAAAUCAGGUCGAGAAGGCUACUUUGACCAUCGAUUACUGUUAGUAUAUUGUUUAUCAAGGUGAUCUAGUAACAUGAAACUGAAGAACCCAUAACAGACUAUAAACCGGUUAAAACAACAACAUCAUAACACAUGACAAACUGACAGAUUAAGGCUUGCAAACAUAUUGUCAGAUGCUGAAAAACCCAUUUCUGCGUUAUCCAGAAUUUGACUGGUCAUGCCCGGUCAACGGGUUUUGACCAAGAAUAACUCAAAAUAUAAACAUCAAAUGACCGAGAUUUAACUUUCAGAACAAAGAUCGCAUACCAGACUAUCCAUCGAAAACAUAAAACAACAAAAAUACUUAACAUCAUGUGAUCUACAGGGUCUGACAUUCGUUGUUAGACCACAAAAAUAACUUUUCCCAGAUUUUUGAAAACACCAAUUUCG